AGAGUUUGAUCCUGGCUCAGAAUGAACGUUGGCGGCGUGGAUUAGGCAUGCAAGUCGUACGCUUUAUGUAGCAAUACAUGAAGAGUGGCGUAAGGGAGAGUAAUCCACAGUUAGCUACCCCCAGGACUGGGAUAGCGGCGGGAAACUGC
rnacentral:rRNA from 1 species